rnacentral:lncRNA from 1 species
UGGGUCACUUCCGUGGCUACAAAUGCUGCCAACAUCGAUGUUAAUUCAUCCGUACAUGUACGGCACCGAUGCAGCGGCGGUCGUUUCGCCAAUGCACGGCAGCAGUGGCGUUACGACUGCGUCGACGCCGACGGAGACGUCCGGUGGCGGCGGCGGCGGCGAGCCCCGUACUCUUAGCAGUACUGCUCAGGCUAUAAGCCGUGUGGUUUCAUCAGACAGCAGCAGCCGUGGCAGCGGAUGGGCGGUGCGCGGCGGCGG